AAAAAAAAAAAAAAAAAACCCAGAGACACGAAUGGAGAAUUGCAGUGAAGGUAGAGUUGCAGUGAGGGAUUAUACGGUGAAGAAUUAGUUAUAGUUUUGUGUUUAUGCGAGUUGGUUGUUUCGUAAAGUCAAAGGAAGACAAAACCAGAGACGUAAAUCAAUCGAAGAACAUGAAGAUAAAGGGAAGAUGAAGAGUCGAAGUUAUCAAUCGCAAUAAACCGUUCUAUAGAUCGGAAAGAGCUUCCUUGAUUUCCAGUUUUUUAAUGGAUUUGUAGAGAGCUUGCAGCCGAUGCAGAUUUGCGUUUUUAUUUGUUCAUUGUUGCCAAGAUCUUAUAGUAGAGAGUGGGAUCGCAAGAAAUUUCCCUUAUAAGCAUUUUAUUUCUUUGAGUUCCUGUACAUGAUGUAUACUUCCUAAGCUGAUUCUGUAAAACCUUACUUGUUCAAUUUCCCAAUCCUGUUACUAGUCAAAAUGGUUUAUCAGACUAUCAGUAGUCUUUAUUAUAAAA